rnacentral:tRNA from 1 species
GCCUGGGUAGCUCAGUUAGUAGAGCAACGGUUUUGUAAACCGUAGGUCGUGGGGGCAGAGCCCACCCCAGGCU